rnacentral:rRNA from 1 species
UCUACGGGGGGCAGCAGUGGGGAAUAUUGCACAAUGGACGCAAGCCUGAUGCAGCCAUGCCGCGUGUGUGAAGAAGGCCUUCGGGUUGUAAAGCACUUUCAGCGGGGAGGAAGGCGUUAAGGUUAAUAACCUUGUCGAUUGACGUUACCCGCAGAAGAAGCACCGGCUAACUCCGUGCCAGCAGCCGCGGUAAUACGGAGGGUGCAAGCGUUAAUCGGAAUUACUGGGCGUAAAGCGCACGCAGGCGGUCUGUCAAGUCGGAUGUGAAAUCCCCGGGCUCAACCUGGGAACUGCAUUCGAAACUGGCAGGCUAGAGUCUUGUAGAGGGGGGUAGAAUUCCAGGUGUAGCGGUGAAAUGCGUAGAGAUCUGGAGGAAUACCGGUGGCGAAGGCGGCCCCCUGGACAAAGACUGACGCUCAGGUGCGAAAGCGUGGGGAGCAAACAGGAUUAGAUACCCGAGUAGUC